rnacentral:tRNA from 1 species
GGCCGUUUAGCUCAGUUGACAGAGCGUCAUGCUUAUAACACGAGUGUCGUGAGUUCGAUCUCCCCAAUGGUCA